CUGGAGGAGAGAUGCUGAGUGCUGUCGGGAAGAAGCGCUGAGGGAGGAAGAGUGGAGGCAGUAAGUGCAGGAAGGCACCGGAGUCUGUGCGCACCAAUAAAGUAAUGGCACCGGCUGGAUUCUGCAGGUGUGAUCAAACGUCACGUCCGGAUCGUCCAUCUGGGAGUUGCACUUUGGACACGAGCAGACAAACAGGUAGUUCUCCCUGGAAA